CCUACGGGAGGCAGCAGUGAGGAAUAUUGGUCAAUGGACGAGAGUCUGAACCAGCCAAGUAGCGUGAAGGAUGACUGCCCUAUGGGUUGUAAACUUCUUUUAUAUGGGAAUAAAAUGUUCCACGUGUGGGAUUUUGUAUGUACCAUAUGAAUAAGGAUCGGCUAACUCCGUGCCAGCAGCCGCGGUAAUACGGAGGAUCCGAGCGUUAUCCGGAUUUAUUGGGUUUAAAGGGAGCGUAGGUGGAUUGUUAAGUCAGUUGUGAAAGUUUGCGGCUCAACCGUAAAAUUGCAGUUGAAACUGGCAGUCGUGAGUACAGUAGAGGUAGGCGGAAUUCGUGGUGUAGCGGUGAAAUGCUUAGACAUCACGAAGAACUCCGAUUGCGAAGGCAGCUCACUGGACUGCAACUGACACUGAGGCUCGAAAGUGUGGGUAUCAAACAGGAUUAGAUACCCGUGUAGUC
rnacentral:rRNA from 1 species